AGAGUUUGAUCCUGGCUCAGGAUGAACGCUAGCGGCAGGCUUAAUACAUGCAAGUCGUGGGGCAGCAUAGGGUAGCAAUACUCUGAUGGCGACCGGCAAACGGGUGCGGAACACGUACGCAACCUUCCUUUAACUGGAGAAUAGCCCCUCGAAAGAGGGAUUAAUACUCCGUAACAUGAUGAUAAGGCAUCUUAUUAUUAUUAUAGCUCCGGCGGUUAGAGAUGGGCGUGCGCCUGAUUAGGUAGUUGGCGGGGUAACGGCCCACCAAGCCUGCGAUCAGUAACUGGUGUGAGAGCACGACCAGUCACACGGGCACUGAGACACGGGCCCGACUCCUACGGGAGGCAGCAGUAAGGAAUAUUGGUCAAUGGACGCAAGUCUGAACCAGCCAUGCCGCGUGGAGGAUUAAGGCCCUCUGGGUUGUAAACUCCUUUUAUCUGGGAAGAAAUCCAUAUAAUCUUAUGUGGUGACGNACCAGAGGAAUAAGCACCGG
rnacentral:rRNA from 1 species